rnacentral:snRNA from 1 species
AAUUAUGCUAAACGUAUACUUUCGCCUUUUACUAAAGAAUUCCGUGGAGAGGAGCAGUUCAAUGAGUCGUGAACAUUUUUCGAUAUCCGACUUUGGUCGGUUU